rnacentral:rRNA from 1 species
ACUCCUACGGGAGGCAGCAGUGGGGAAUAUUGCACAAUGGGCGCAAGCCUGAUGCAGCCAUGCCGCGUGUGUGAAGAAGGCCUCGGUUGUAAAGCACUUUCAGUCGUGAGGAAGGUAGUGUAGUUAAUAGCUGCAUUAUUUGUACGUUAGCGACAGAAGAAGCACCGGCUAACUCCGUGCCAGCAGCCGCGGUAAUACGGAGGGUGCGAGCGUUAAUCGGAAUUACUGGGCGUAAAGCGCAUGCAGGUGGUUUGUUAAGUCAGAUGUGAAAGCCCGGGGCUCAACCUCGGAAUAGCAUUUGAAACUGGCAGACUAGAGUACUGUAGAGGGGGUAGAAUUUCAGGUGUAGCGGUGAAAUGCGUAGAGAUCUGAAGGAAUACCGGUGGCGAAGGCGGCCCCCCU